rnacentral:rRNA from 1 species
AGAGUUUGAUCCUGGCUCAGGAUGAACGCUGGCGGCGUGCCUAACACAUGCAAGUCGAACGAAGCUUGACGGAUGAUUUCUUCGGAAUGAAACCUGAUAUGACUUAGUGGCGGACGGGUGAGUAACACGUGAGCAACCUGCCUUUCAGAGGGGGAUAACGGCUGGAAACGGUCGCUAAUACCGCAUGACGUGUUCGGAUGGCAUCAUCUGAACAUCAAAGAUUUAUCGCUGAAAGAUGGGCUCGCGUCUGAUUAGAUAGUUGGUGGGGUAACGGCCUACCAAGUCUACGAUCAGUAGCCGGACUGAGAGGUUGAACGGCCACAUUGGGACUGAGAUACGGCCCAGACUCCUACGGGAGGCAGCAGUGGGGAAUAUUGCACAAUGGGGGAAACCCUGAUGCAGCAACGCCGCGUGAAGGAUGACGGUUUUCGGAUUGUAAACUUCUUUUCUUAGUGACGAAGACAGUGACGGUAGCUAAGGAAUAAGCAUCGGCUAACUACGUGCCAGCAGCCGCGGUAAUACGUAGGAUGCAAGCGUUAUCCGGAUUUACUGGGUGUAAAGGGAGCGCAGGCGGGACUGCAAGUUGGAUGUGAAAUACCGUGGCUUAACCACGGAACUGCAUCCAAAACUGUAGUUCUUGAGUGAAGUAGAGGCAAGCGGAAUUCCGAGUGUAGCGGUGAAAUGCGUAGAUAUUCGGAGGAACACCAGUGGCGAAGGCGGCUUGCUGGGCUUUAACUGACGCUGAGGCUCGAAAGUGUGGGGAGCAAACAGGAUUAGAUACCCUGGUAGUCCACACUGUAAACGAUGAUAGCUAGGUGUGGGGGGUCUGACCCCUUCCGUGCCGGAGUUAACGCAAUAAGCUAUCCACCUGGGGAGUACGACCGCAAGGUUGAAACUCAAAGGAAUUGACGGGGGCCC